rnacentral:rRNA from 1 species
UGGGGGAUAUUGCACAAUGGGGGGAACCCUGAUGCAGCGACGCCGCGUGAGUGAAGAAGUAUUUCGGUAUGUAAAGCUCUGUCAGCAGGGACGAAAAGAGACGGUACCUGCAGAAGAAGCCCCGGCUAACUACGUGCCAGCAGCCGCGGUAAUACGUAGGGGGCAAGCGUUAUCCGGAUUUACUGGGUGUAAAGGGAGCGUAGACGGCGGUGCAAGCCAGAAGUGAAAGGCCGGGGCUCAACCCCGGGACUGCUUUUGGAACUGCAUGGCUGGAGUACAGGAGAGGUAAGCGGAAUUCCUGGUGUAGCGGUGAAAUGCGCAGAUAUCAGGAGGAACACCAGUGGCGAAGGCGGCUUACUGGACUGAGACUGACGUUGAGGCUCGAAAGCGUGGGGAGCAAACAGG